UCAAGGUCAAAAGGAUGGUGCCAGGCUGGUAUGCAGCACCAGUGAAACCAUACUGAUAGGCGGCAUUGGUGCCAAGCUUUAGUCCCCUUCGUUUCUUGUAGUCCGUCAGCAUUUAGUCCCAUUCCCCUCAGGCCACGGGAAGAAAGAGAAGAAAGAGGGAGAGGGAUUUGGGGGACCUUAUAACCAUGGUCUCCCUUGUAGAGAAGAAGAGUAAGAAACGGUAAAAGAAAAAGAAAAAGCAGUAGUGGAGAAGAAGAGAGGGAAAAGAAAGAAAGAAACAAAGGAAGGAAAAG
rnacentral:lncRNA from 1 species